rnacentral:misc_RNA from 1 species
CAAUGGUUUGAAAGUGGCAGAGUGGUAUGUUUUUCCUCUUGACUGUGCCCGUGCUGUUAUUCCAAAAAUAGAUGCCUAAUAUACUGCUUUUCUGGAAAUCAACUUCUUAUUGCUAGUAAUACUGAAUCAUGUAUGGUUUCACCGAUAGGUUGUAGUGUUCAUACCUUUUCAUUAAUUGAACCUUCUUUAGACAUUUUCCUUUUGGAUAAUUUGAGAGUAUAAACAACUAUAUAAAAUGCUGUCAUGAAUAGAGCAUCAAAAAGAAAAUUCUAUGGUAGCUUCCAUAAUCUGAACUCGUGUAAAUUACAGACGAAUAUAAUAAGAUCAAAUCACUCAGUAAAUUUCCCUAUUUCUUAUAUAUGACUUUAAUGCAUUUUGUGAGCAAAAUCGCAGAAAGGAGCAGCCCAAGUUAAAG